ACCGACAGGGGAGCAGCUAGUAGCUGCUGAGAGUGCAUAAGAUGCAGACCCUCGAACCUGAUCCAGGUAAUGCUGGCGUAAGGAAGUCGAGUUUC
rnacentral:ncRNA from 1 species